AAUAGAUACCCUGGUAGUCCACGCCGUAAACGAUGAGUGCUAAGUGUUAGAGGGUUUCCGCCCUUUAGUGCUGCAGCUAACGCAUUAAGCACUCCGCCUGGGGAGUACGACCGCAAGGUUGAAACUCAAAGGAAUUGACGGGGGCCCGCACAAGCGGUGGAGCAUGUGGUUUAAUUCGAAGCAACGCGAAGAACCUUACCAGGUCUUGACAUCCUCUGACCUCCCUAGAGAUAGGGCCUUCCCCUUCGGGGGACAGAGUGACAGGUGGUGCAUGGUUGUCGUCAGCUCGUGUCGUGAGAUGUUGGGUUAAGUCCCGCAACGAGCGCAACCCUUGACCUUAGUUGCCAGCAUUCAGUUGGGCACUCUAAGGUGACUGCCGGUGACAAACCGGAGGAAGGUGGGGAUGACGUCAAAUCAUCAUGCCCCUUAUGACCUGGGCUACACACGUGCUACAAUGGAUGGUACAAAGGGCUGCGAGACCGCGAGGUUAAGCCAAUCCCAUAAAACCGAUUCUCAGUUCGGAUUGCAGGCUG
rnacentral:rRNA from 1 species